CCUACGGGAGGCAGCAGUGGGGAAUAUUGCACAAUGGGGGAAACCCUGAUGCAGCGAAGCCGCGUGAGUGAAGAAGUACUUCGGUAUGUAAAGCUCUAUCAACAGGGAAGAAAAUGACGGUACCUGACUCAGAAGCCCCGGCUAACUACGUGCCAGCAGCCGCGGUAAUAAGUAGGGGGCAAGAGUUAUCCGGAUUUACUGGGCGUAAAGGGAGCGUAGAGGGCACGACAAGUCAGAAGUGAAAGCCCAGGGCUCAACCCUGGGACGGCGGUUGAAACUGCCGGGCUGGAGUGCAGGAGAGGUAUGCGGAAUGCGUGGUGUAGCGGUGAAAUGCAUAGAUAUUACGAAGAACUCCGAUGGCGAAGGCAGCUUGCUGGACUGUAACUGACGUUGAGGCACGAAAGCGUGGGUAGCGAACAGGAUUAGAUACCCGGGUAGUC
rnacentral:rRNA from 1 species